UACGUAGGGUGCGAGCGUUGUCCGGAAUUAUUGGGCGUAAAGAGCUUGUAGGCGGUUUGUCGCGUCUGCUGUGAAAUUUCGGGGCUCAACCCCGAACUUGCAGUGGGUACGGGCAGACUGGAGUGUGGUAGGGGAGACUGGAAUUCCUGGUGUAGCGGUGGAAUGCGCAGAUAUCAGGAGGAACACCGAUGGCGAAGGCAGGUCUCUGGGCCACUACUGACGCUGAGAAGCGAAAGCAUGGGGAGCGAACAGG
rnacentral:rRNA from 1 species